GCUCGCACUGGCAGCUCUCUCCCCUCCUUCUACAGUUGAGGGCUGCCUCCUCUCCAGCUUAACAUCCAUCCCUCCUUCUCUGCUCACUUUGAUUCUGCUCACUCCUGCCGCCUCAGGAACCUGACCACAUCUCUCUCUUGGUUAUUUGACUCCUCUCUUUCAACUGGCUUUAGACACCCUCAAGCCUUCCUUAACAACAACAAAACAGAAACAAGAAAACGCUGAACUUGACUUCUUCAUCCCGUCGUCCGGAGCUGGCUCCCCAGAACCACCAACAUGGCCACCGACAAGCCAGAGGUACUGCCUCUUGAGGUCGCCGGCUGUCGGGAGCACAGCGAAGCGUGGUUUUUAGAGCAGGGAAGACAAGCUCAGGAUGCAUCAGGAAUUGGAAGUUUGCUUUGAGGACCAAAAGAUGGCUCUAACUUGGCCUGCUAUCAUCCGCGUGCCAGGCUGACUCGAGAGCACCAAUUACCAGCCAGCUGCCUUGGACUCCUCCUCGCCAGGACCAUCUGGAGAAUCUGGCCUGCCCUGGCGCUUCCCUUUCAAGCUUCUCUGUCUUUAGAGCUCCCUCUGGAGAUCAGCAUCAUGGUACCUGGGAAAGGUGUCUUCCACCCACCCCCAGUGGUCCCUCCUCAAGCUCUGGGAGCCCCUCCCUCAGGGAUAGGCCCUUGGGGUCCCUGUCGUCACCCACAGAGCCCAAGGCCACCAGCACUCUCCAGACUGGCCCUGCUGUGACCUGGCCAGCACUAUCCUUAACCACACAGUACUCUGAGAUUCCCCCCCACCCAGAGGAACUCAGGCCACCCCCCUCACCACCCCCUUUCUUUGAAGGACUUUCCCUAUCAAGGACCGAUUAACAGGUACUCACCAGGGAGCCAAGCAGGCUGGGAACCUGGGGUGGCUCAUAAGACGCAGCAAAUGACAGACACCAAGAGAGGAAGGUCAAGGGCAUGUUUAGUUCAGGCGAUAAGAGAUGCUCUGAACACUUCGUGAUUUGUUCCCAGUUUGCCUCAACACCAGGGCCCCAGGCCGCCUCCUGUCAGGUGAGCUCCAGCAGGGAGAUGUCUUGCGGCCACGUGCCUCGGGACAGGUUGUGGAGGCCGGCGGGGGUGAGUUCCAGCCGCAGCUCUGCAGACAGCUGUCCAGGCAUCGAG